CAUUAACAAAUAACUUGUUUAAGUGUACAUAUCAAAACAUCAGAUCAAGUGCAUAAAAGCAGGUAAUAGUGAGUACAUGUUAUAGGAAUUAAAUGGCUACAUAUUGAUACUCUUCAGAGCUUCCAUGUCAGAUUGUCUUCCAUUGGUGGAUGAUAAAAUUAUGCUGCAGUGCCUGCAUGUGCGCAUAGCAUAAGUAAAAUAAUUGAAGUGCAUCAUUCCGUAAGUCAGACUUAGAAAUUAGAAGAUGCUUUGUGUUGGAGCAUCAUAUGUUUUAUGGUGUUUCCAAAUCAAGUACGACAACAGUGUGGAGAUUACAUGACAGUAAGGUAACUAAUAAAUCAUGAGAUCUAAACAGAAGAGAAGAGAAAAAAUCAUCAUAACAAAGUAGAAAUCACAUCAUCCAUGAAUUCUCAAGUCUUACCUUUGUUACCACUAACCUUUUUCAAUUAUUGCUGACCCUAGAAACAUGUCAUCCUUGAACUUUCAGACUGUAGGUCCAUUCACGAUUAAUGGCAGCAAUUGGAUGGAGAUUUAGCUAAAUGCACACAUAUGAAAAGGGAAGACCCCAUCAGGCCUUAAUUCAUCUAGUGACUAUAAAAAUAUGAAAUCUGGAAGAUAGUAUUGUUGAUUUACCUUAGCCGUAAAACCUUUAGUUUACCUUACCCCAUGAUGAAAAUCAUCCUUGUUGAAGUCAUCAACCGUGGCGAGGUCUUGGUCAAGUUGGUCGAUGUCUAGCAAGAUCAUUGUUCUUGAAGAUUACCUUCCCUCCGGGGCUCAAAAUAGCCGUCAUCCAUCACAUGUAACUGAACAGUAUAGCUUUGUCCUCCAUAUCCCUCACACCCUGCCUCUAUUGGUUGAUGGAUUGAGAGAACGAUGAUGGGAAGCUGAAUCAUAGCAGAGAAUAGAGUUCCACCCGUACAGGAACAGGAAAUAGAGUUCCACCCGUAGAGGAAGUAUUGACAUUGGAUAGUCUCUUUUUCUACAUAUACGGUACAGGUUUUUGUCCUGUACGCUACAUGAAGAUCUAUAUCUUGUUUUUGGAGAGAUAUAGAAUACUGAUUUUCUCUUGACAUCGAGGUCUGCUUCAAGCAAACGCACAGUAAAAGAAAACUGAAUCGCUAAUAGCACGAUCAAAGGGGGCGAUGAAAAAAUUUGAAUCCAAAUUGACAAAAUCAAACAAAAAAUAAAUCAGUGUGAGAAGACAAACCUGAUCUGGAUGAAAAUAUAUAUUUUAAUGUGAUUAGCUCCGUCAGCGCAGCAGAUCCAUGCCCCGCUUGAUU
rnacentral:lncRNA from 1 species